GACUAACGCUGGCGGCGUGCUUAAUACAUGCAAGUCAACGACUUUUAGAGUAGCAAUAUUUUAAAGGAAGUGGCGCACGGUGAGUAACACGUAGGUAAUCUGCCUUCAGGACUGACACAACUCGUCGAAAGACGGGCUAAUAUCAGAUAAUGCAGCGGCUCGCAUGGAGACAGUUGUUAAAGUACAAGCGCCUGAAGAUGAGCCUGCGGUCCAUUAGCUAGUUGGUAGAGUAACAGCCUACCAAGGCAACGAAUGGAUAGCUGGUCUGAGAGGAUGAUCAGCCACACUGGAACUGAGACACGGUCCAGACUCCUACGGGAGGCGAGCAGUAAGGAAUAUUGCUCAAUAGGCCGAAAGGAC
rnacentral:rRNA from 1 species